CCUACGGGUGGCAGCAGUGGGGAAUUUUGGACAAUGGGCGCAAGCCUGAUCCAGCUAUUCCGCGUGUGGGAUGACGGCCCUCGGGUUGUAAACCACUUUAGUAGAGAACGAAAAGGAGCUCUCGAAUAACUAGCUCUGCUGACGGUACUCUAAGACUAAGCACAGGCUAACUACGUGCCAGCAGCCGCGGGAAUACGUAGGGUGCGAGCGUUAAUCGGAAUUACUGGGCGUAAAGGGGGUGCAGGCGUCUAAGUAAGACAGAUGUGAAAUCCCCGGGCUUAACCUGGGAACCGCAUCUGUGACUGGUUGGCUAGAGUGCGUCAGAGGGAGGUGGAAUUCCACGGGUAGCAGUGAAAUGCGUAGAUAUGUGGAAGAACACCGAUGGCGAAGGCAGCCUCCUGGGACGCAACUGACGCUCAUACACGAAAGCGUGGGGAGCAAACAGGAUUAGAUACCCGGGUAGUC
rnacentral:rRNA from 1 species